UGGGGAAUCUUGCACAAUGGGGGCAACUCUGAUGCAGCGACGCCGCGUGAGCGAUGAAGCCCUUCGGGGCGUAAAGCUCUUUCGACCGGAACGAUAAUGACGGUACCGGGAGAAGAAGCUGCGGCUAACUACGUGCCAGCAGCCGCGGUAAUACGUAGGCAGCAAGCGUUGUACGGAGUUACUGGGCGUAAAGCGUGCGCAGGCGGUUUUGUAAGACAGAUGUGAAAUCCCCGGGCUUAACCUGGGAACUGCGUUUGUGACUGCAAGGCUGGAGUACGGCAGAGGGGGGUGGAAUUCCACGUGUAGCAGUGAAAUGCGUAGAGAUGUGGAGGAACACCGAUGGCGAAGGCAGCCCCCUGGGCCUGUACUGACGCUCAUGCACGAAAGCGUGGGGAGCAAACA
rnacentral:rRNA from 1 species